UCUUAGUUGAAGCAUGAGAGAUUAAAUUAAAUCAUACAAUCUCGAGCUCUCAUACAGGGCCAGUGCAGUAGAGACUCAGAGGGAUGCUUACGCCUAGCUGGAGGACCUUGCUCACUGGAGGAACUUGCUCACUUUUGUGAGGGAUGACCAGUGUGGCAUUCUUCUGUUAGCAGUGAAACAAAAAUAAUAGAGGGUACACGUUGUUACACACUGUCAGUUUCCAUCAAACAUUUUCUUGUCGCGAAUCGUACUGGACAAAGGGAUUAUAGCACAAGCACAAGGCCUAAUCUACUAUGACUUGAGGGAUAGGUUGAAGGUCGUCUCCUAUCAUCUCAUCUCAUCUCAAAGCCAAAGGCCAUGCACUGUUAUAUAGACUUGGUACACGUAGAUAUUAUUAUUAUAUUCAAACGCUUCUAGUAAGUGCUAUUAAUGCAGCAAGAAAAUAUGAGCACUAUACAUCAAACAGAACAUUUGAAAGAGGGUGAGGGGAGUUAGUUUUUGAGUGCACAAUUCCACUGAUACAGAUGACAGUCGCCCACUGACUCUUCUGGAAUCGUGGACGGAUGGAACGGAAUAACAUCACUGUUAUGCAUUGCUGAAACUCGGCAGUUGAAUUGUCAGUUUGGUCAUAAUACUACAAAGAGAAAAAUUAAACACGAAUAUUAGUCAAUGGUAGUAGGAAAUAGGGUAUACGCGUACAGUGCAACAACCAAAGAGAGUAGAUUUUUUUUUUUAUUAUUUUUUUUCACAUUUUGUGGCAUAUCUUCUGAAGUAAAAGUGAUAUGAUCUAUUUGAGUGCAGGUA